rnacentral:rRNA from 1 species
GACGAACGCUGGCGGCGUGCUUAACACAUGCAAGUCGAGCGGAAAGGCCCUUCGGGGUACUCGAGCGGCGAACGGGUGAGUAACACGUGAGUAACCUGCCCCAGACUUUGGGAUAACCCUCGGAAACGGGGGCUAAUACCGGAUACGACACAGCUUCGCAUGGGGUCUGUGUGGAAAGUUUGUCGGUUUGGGAUGGGCUCGCGGCCUAUCAGCUUGUUGGUGGGGUGAUGGCCUACCAAGGCGACGACGGGUAGCCGGCCUGAGAGGGCGACCGGCCACACUGGGACUGAGACACGGCCCAGACUCCUACGGGAGGCAGCAGUGGGGAAUAUUGCACAAUGGGCGGAAGCCUGAUGCAGCGACGCCGCGUGAGGGAUGACGGCCUUCGGGUUGUAAACCUCUUUCAGCAGGGACGAAGUGUAAGUGACGGUACCUGCAGAAGAAGCGCCGGCCAACUACGUG